rnacentral:rRNA from 1 species
GAUGAACGCUAGCGGCAGGCCUAACACAUGCAAGUCGAGGGGUAGAACACUUCGGUGUUUGAGACCGGCGCACGGGUGCGUAACGCGUAUGCAAUCUACCUUAUACAGGGGAAUAGCCCAGAGAAAUUUGGAUUAAUGCCCCAUAGCAUUACGACUUGGCAUCAAGAUGUAAUUAAAGUUCCAACGGUAUAAGAUGAGCAUGCGUCCCAUUAGUUAGUUGGUAAGGUAACGGCUUACCAAGACAAUGAUGGGUAGGGGUCCUGAGAGGGGAAGCCCCCACACUGGUACUGAGACACGGACCAGACUCCUACGGGAGGCAGCAGUGAGGAAUAUUGGUCAAUGGGCGCAAGCCUGAACCAGCCAUGCCGCGUGCAGGAAGACGGUCCUAUGGAUUGUAAACUGCUUUUAUACAGGAAGAAACAUCCCGACGUGUCGGGACUUGACGGUACUGUAGGAAUAAGGAUCGGCUAACUCCGUGCCAGCAGCCGCCGUAAGAC